CACGUAGGGUGCGAGCGUUGUCCGGAAUUAUUGGGCGUAAAGCGUGCGCAGGCGGUUUUGUAAGCCAGAUGUGAAAUCCCCGGGCUUAACCUGGGAAUGGCAUUUGGGACUGCAAGGCUUGAGUGCGGCAGAGGAGACUGGAAUUCCUGGUGUAGCAGUGAAAUGCGUAGAUAUCAGGAGGAAUACCGAUGGCGAAGGCAGGUCUCUGGGCUGACACUGACGCUCAUGCACGAAAGCGUGGGGAGCAAACAGG
rnacentral:rRNA from 1 species